rnacentral:rRNA from 1 species
UACACUCCUGCGGGAGGCAGCAGUGGGGAAUUUUGGACAAUGGGCGAAAGCCUGAUCCAGCCAUGCCGCGUGCAGGAUGAAGGCCUUCGGGUUGUAAACUGCUUUUGUACGGAACGAAACGGCCUUUUCUAAUAAAGAGGGCUAAUGACGGUACCGUAAGAAUAAGCACCGGCUAACUACGUGCCAGCAGCCGCGGUAAUACGUAGGGUGCAAGCGUUAAUCGGAAUUACUGGGCGUAAAGCGUGCGCAGGCGGUUAUGUAAGACAGUUGUGAAAUCCCCGGGCUCAACCUGGGAACUGCAUCUGUGACUGCAUAGCUAGAGUACGGUAGAGGGGGAUGGAAUUCCGCGUGUAGCAGUGAAAUGCGUAGAUAUGCGGAGGAACACCGAUGGCGAAGGCAAUCCCCUGGACCUGUACUGACGCUCAUGCACGAAAGCGUGGGGAGCAAACAGGAUUAGAUACCCUGGUAGUCCCAU